CCCUCGGCUGCUUCUGUUUAUACCAAGAAGCUUUCUGCGCUGGGCUUCAACUUUCGCUUCCACCUUUUGUUAUUGCUCUCUUUCACUUCUUAAACAUUUCUUUAGUUUCUGUAGCACCGAACUCCUUUAGAUUUCUGAUAGGAUUUCUUUCCCUCUGUAGUUUAGCUAAAGUUCGGCCAACCCUCUCUUUGUUUAGGAAUUUUUAUACCUUCAAGCAUCAUCCCUCGGCAAAGGACUGGUGGCACUUCUCCCCUC
rnacentral:lncRNA from 1 species